GACGAACCGUGCGAACGUUGUUCGGAAUAACUGGGCUUAAAGGGAGCGUAGGCGGGCUAACAAGUCUGGGGUGAAAUCCCGCGACUCAACCGUGGAACUGCCUCAGAUACUGUCGGCCUCGAGGGAGAUAGGGGCGUGCGGAACUAACGGUGGAGCGGUGAAAUGCGUUGAUAUCGUUAGGAACUCCGGUGGCGAAAGCGGCGUGCUGGAUCUCUUCUGACGCUGAGGCUCGAAAGCUAGGGGAGCAAACGGG
rnacentral:rRNA from 1 species